rnacentral:rRNA from 1 species
AGCGAACGCUGGCGGCAGGCCUAACACAUGCAAGUCGAACGGGCUCUUCGGAGCUAGUGGCGGACGGGUGAGUAACACGUGGGAACGUGCCUUUAGGUUCGGAAUAAGCCCGGGAAACUGGGUCUAAUACCGAAUGUGCCCUUCGGGGGAAAGAUUUAUCGCCUUUAGAGCGGCCCGCGUCUGAUUAGCUAGUCGGUGGGGUAAUGGCCCACCAAGGCUACGAUCAGUAGCUGGUCUGAGAGGAUGACCAGCCACAUUGGGACUGAGACACGGCCCAGACUCCUGCGGGAGGCAGCAGGUGGGAAUCUUGCGCAAUGGCGAAAGCCUGACGCAGCCAUGCCGCGUGGAUGAUGAAGGUCUUAGGAUUAUAAAAUCCUUUCACCGGUGAAGAUAAUGACUGUAGCCGGAGAAGAAGCCCCGGCUAACUUCGUGCCAGCCGCCGCGGUAAAAC